GAUGAACGCUGGCGGCGUGCCUAAUACAUGCAAGUCGAGCGAACGGACGAGAAGCUUGCUUCUCUGAUGUUAGCGGCGGACGGGUGAGUAACACGUGGAUAACCUACCUAUAAGACUGGGAUAACUUCGGGAAACCGGAGCUAAUACCGGAUAAUAUUUUGAACCGCAUGGUUCAAAAGUGAAAGACGGUCUUGCUGUCACUUAUAGAUGGAUCCUCGCUGCAUUAGCUAGUUGGUAAGGUAACGGCUUACCAAGGCAACGAUGCAUAGCCGACCUGAGAGGGUGAUCGGCCACACUGGAACUGAGACACGGUCCAGACUCCUACGGGAGGCAGCAGUAGGGAAUCUUCCGCAAUGGGCGAAAGCCUGACGGAGCAACGCCGCGUGAGUGAUGAAGGUCUUCGGAUCGUAAAACUCUGUUAGUAGGGAAGAACAUAUGUGUAAGUAACUGUGCACAUCUUGACGGUACCUAAUCAGAAAGCCACGGCUAACUACGUG
rnacentral:rRNA from 1 species